GCCAGGAAGAGGAAGAAAGAAAAUAUCUAACAGCAGUGGGAAUGGGAACAUGGAGGAAAGCACAAUAACUGUCUCUUUUUCCUCUAGAAUUGGAUACAGACAUUUGUCUAUGUGUUUUCCUGAUGCCUCCCAUUCCUACAGUUCUUAGGUGCUCCUUCCUCUUCCUCUGACCU
rnacentral:pre_miRNA from 1 species